rnacentral:rRNA from 1 species
UAGGGAAUAUUGCACAAUGGGGGAAACCCUGAUGCAGCGACGCCGCGUGAGUGAUGAAGGCCUUCGGGUCGUAAAGCUCUGUCGUAUGGGACUAACAAAAUGAAGGUACCAUGCAAGAAAGGAUCGGCUAACUUCGUGCCAGCAGCCGCGGUAAGACGAGGGAUCCUAGCGUUGUUCGGAAUUAUUGGGCGUAAAGCGGGUGUAGGCGGACUUAUAAGUCAGGUGUGAAAUCCCAGGGCUCAACCCUGGAAGUGCACUUGAUACUGCAAGUCUUGAGUGUGGUAGAGGCUAUUAGAAUUCCUGGUGUAGUGGUGAAAUACGUAGAUAUUAGGAGGAACACCGGUGGCGAAGGCGCCGCUCUGGGCCGAAACUGACGCUGAGGAGCGAAAGCAUGGGUAGCAAACAGGAUUAGAUACCCCCGUAGUCCCUGAGCGGGCUGGCAAGGCGCAU